ACUUGCCUACGGGAGCAGCAGUGGGGAAUAUUGGGCAAUGGGCGAAAGCCUGACCCAGCAACGCCGCGUGAAGGAAGAAGGCUUUCGGGUUGUAAACUUCUUUUGUCAGGGAUGAAGCAAGUGACGGUACCUGACGAAUAAGCCACGGCUAACUACGUGCCAGCAGCCGCGGUAAUACGUAGGUGGCAAGCGUUAUCCGGAUUUACUGGGUGUAAAGGGCGUGUAGGCGGGACUGCAAGGCAGAUGUGAAAACUCAGGGCUCAACCCUGAGCCUGCAUUUGAAACUUGAGUUCUUGAGUAC
rnacentral:rRNA from 1 species